AACGAACGCUGGCGGCAUGCCUAACACAUGCAAGUCGAACGAAACCUUCCUGUCUAUUUGCGCACGGCUGCGUAACGCCUGGGAACCUGCCCUUAGGUUCCGAGUAACUCCCCGAAAGGUAUGCUAAUACCGUUUAAUGUCUUCGCGCCAAAGAUUUAUCGCCGUGGGAUGGGCCCGCGUUGGAUUAGCGGGUUGGUAGGGUAAUAGCCUACCAAGGGCACGAUGCAUAGCUGGUCUGAGAGGAUGAUAAGCCACAAUGGGAAUGAGACACGGCCUAGUAUGCGACGGAGCGGAGGAGUGGAGAAUAUUAGAGAAUGGGGGAAGACGUGACAAAGCAAUGCGGGGGGAGUGAUGAAGGGGUUAGUGUUGUAAAGCUGUUUUACACGGGAUGAUAAUGACAGUACCGGGAGAAUAAGCUCCGGCUAACUACGUG
rnacentral:rRNA from 1 species